rnacentral:rRNA from 1 species
UACGUAGGGUGCAAGCGUUAAUCGGAAUUACUGGGCGUAAAGCGUGCGCAGGCGGUGAUGUAAGACAGUUGUGAAAUCCCCAGGCUCAACCUGGGAACUGCGUCCGAUACUGGCAGGCUUGAAUCCGGGAGAGGGAUGUGGAAUUCCAGGUGUAGCGGUGAAAUGCGUAGAUAUCUGGAGGAACACCGGUGGCGAAGGCGGCAUCCUGGACCGGUAUUGACGCUGAGGCGCGAAAGCUAGGGGAGCAAACGGG